GCCCCGAUGGGGUUUGGAAAGCAUUAUUAAGCGGGGCACAGAGGUAGAAGGCAUUCCAUGUGGAGCCUUUGAAUGCUACAUUACAAGUUAUGUGCAGUACUAUAUUUGGAAAGUGUCAUGCCAAUUGGAAAGGUCUUCAGGAUGACAAGCAUUAAGAAUACACCAGUACCACUCCUCUAGUCCUGUAGCCAAUGUCUGUUCACUGGCUCAGACUGCUGCUGCCUGUGCUGUGAUGUCCAGUCCAUGCUCAGCCUUCUAAACUCGCAAGUUUGCUUGUCAAGAUCACCCUGCAAAGCUACUCCACCGCCAAGUCAAAAGCUUCCAUAAGCCAUAUAGCACUUUUCAUAUGUCCUCCUGACAGACAGAAGACAGGCACUGGAGUGCAGAAGAGCCUUUAGUAAUUGUGUGUUUGGCAUAUUUGGUUUUAAUGAUUAUUUAGUGUUGUCUUUUUAAAUUGUGUUUAUGGAUAUUUUGGUGGUCCAUAACAGAGGGUGAAUAAACUAUGAAAUUAAUGGUAAAUAGAAAUGUGGAUUAUAAUUAAGUUCUACAAUUGAAUUAAUUUGAGAGAACUUUAGUAAGGAAAGGUCGUCCAAGCUGCGGCCUCUUUGUUUUCUUCCGCAUUCUUCUUUUCCUCGUGCUUUUGACCUCCACCUGCUCAUUGUGUAGCUAGAGUGAGCGAGUGCAAACCAGCAGACCACCCUAAAUCCUGUUAUCUAUCUCUGCCAAGAACUGCCAUAUGGAACAGGCUACAGAAGUGUUUGUUCGAUCAGAUAUGAGGCAGCAGUAGGGUUUUCAUGAUGCUUAUGUCACAAAUGUGCAUCAGAAUGACUUGUCGCAUCAUCAGCAGAUAGCCCAGUAAACACACUGGUUUUUUGUGAUGGCUCAAAGGCUAUCAGGCUUGGGAAGUGAAAGCAGUUUGGCUGCUGCAUAGAUACUGGCCUUUCAUUCACAAAGUUCACUGUAUAUUGUCAUGUACCAAUAGAAUAAUGAUUGGAACAUUCCAGGUCAGGGAAGAGUGCAACGGUGCCAUGGUAGCAUAGUGGAUAGCGCAACGGUAUUACAGCUGGGGGCAUCAGAGUUCAGAAUUCAAUCCCAGAGUCCUCUGUAAGGCGUCUGUAUGACCUCCCUAUGGAAUGCGUGGGUUGUCUCUUAGUGCUCCCACAGUCCAAAGACGUAACAGUUAGUAGGUUAAUUGGUUAUUGUUAAUUGCCCCGUGAUUACAUUAGGGUGUAAUCGAGGAUUGUCGGGGGUUGCUGGGCGGUGUGGAUCACAGGGCCAGAGGAGCCUAGUUUGUGUUAUAUCUAUAAAUUAUUACAUACAUACA